rnacentral:rRNA from 1 species
GACGAACGCUGGCGGCGUGCUUAACACAUGCAAGUCGAGCGGAAAGGCCAUUCUGGUGGUGCUUGCGCGGGGGACGAACGAGUAAGUAACGCGUGAUUAGCCUCCGGUUUAGGGUGGGAUAACUGCAGGGGAGUUGAGUAAAGAACAUGUAAGAGCUCCGCCUGCGUUUGGGGGGUUGGAAAUUUUGGGCGGGUGGGGAUGGGCUCGCGGCUUAUCAGCUUGGUGGUGGGGUAGUGGCUUACCAUGGCUUUGACGGGUAGCCGGCCUGAGAGGGUGACCGGCCACACUGGGACUGAGAUACGGCCCAGACUCCUACGGGAGGCAGCAGUGGGGAAUAUUGCACAAUGGGCGGAAGCCUGAUCCAGCAACGCCGCGUGAGGGAUGACGGCCUUCGGGUUGUAAACCGCUUUCGCUACCGACGAAGCGCGAGUGACGGUAAUUACUAAAGAAGCACCGGCCAACUACGUG